GGGCCCAUAGCUCAGCUGGGAGAGCGUUCGGUUCGCAUCCGAGAGGUCGAGGGUUCGAAUCCCUUUGGGUCCA
rfam:Firmicutes bacterium CAG:94 genomic scaffold, scf400